CAGGGCUUCAUGUGGGCUUCUCAUAACAUCAGUAUGAUCUGAAGAUGACUUUUGAAGUUUCAAAGUCAUCACCAAAGUACCAAUAGGUACAGGGAACAACCUGGAUUUAGUUUGUUUCUGAUAACAAACGGAGAGUUUUAGGAAAAUUGCAAGUAUAAAAGAAGAGUGCACCACUGCUAAUUUCAUAGCUAAUGAAAAUAUUAGAUUAUGAUCUCAGCUAGCUUGCUUUUUUCUUUUCUUUCUUUCUCUUUCAUGCUGGUAUUGGGGCAUGAAUUCAGGGCCUGGGUGCUGGUCCCUUAGCUUUUUUGCUCAAGGCUGGUGCUCUACUACUUGAGCCAUAGCACUACUUCCAGCUCUUUUGGUGGUUAAUUGGAGAUUGGAAAAGUUUUGUAGACUUUUCCACUUGAGAUGGCUUUGAAC